AUUGAACGCUGGCGGCAGGCCUAACACAUGCAAGUCGAGCGAAUGAGGGAAGCUUGCUUCCCGAUUUAGCGGCGGACGGGUGAGUAAUGCCUAGGAAUCUGCCUAUUAGUGGGGGAUAACGUUCCGAAAGGAACGCUAAUACCGCAUACGUCCUACGGGAGAAAGUGGGGGAUCUUCGGACCUCACGCUAAUAGAUGAGCCUAGGUCGGAUUAGCUAGUUGGUGAGGUAACGGCUCACCAAGGCGACGAUCCGUAGCUGGUCUGAGAGGAUGAUCAGCCACACUGGAACUGGGACACGGUCCAGACUCCUACGGGAGGCGGCAGUGGGGAAUAUUGGACAAUGGGCGAAAGCCUGAUCCAGCCAUGCCGCGUGUGUGAAGAAGGUCUUCGGAUUGUAAAGCACUUUAAGUUGGGAGGAAGGGUUGUAAGCUAAUAUCUUGCAGCUUUGACGUUACCAACAGAAUAAGCACCGGCUAACUCUGUGCCAGCCGCCGCAGUAACAC
rnacentral:rRNA from 1 species